ACUGCCAAGAAAAGCUUCUAGUGAGAAAGUAACUGCCCGUACCGCAGACCGACACAGGUAGUUGAGGAGAGAAUCCUAAGGUGUGCGAGAGAACUCUCGUUAAGGAACUCGGCAAAAUGACCCCGUAACUUCGGGAGAAGGGGUGCUGACCGCAAGGUCAGCCGCAGUGAAUAGGCCCAAGCGACUGUUUAUCAAAAACACAGGUCUCUGCAAAAUCGAAAGAUGACGUAUAGGGGCUGACGCCUGCCCGGUGCUGGAAGGUUAAGAGGAGAGGUUAGCGCAAGCGAAGCUUUGAAUUGAAGCCCCAGUAAACGGCGGCCGUAACUAUAACGGUCCUAAGGUAGCGAAAUUCCUUGUCGGGUAAGUUCCGACCCGCACGAAAGGCGUAACGAUUUGGGCACUGUCUCAACGAGAGACUCGGUGAAAUUAUAGUACCAGUGAAGAUGCUGGUUACCCGCGACAGGACGGAAAGACCCCAUGGAGCUUUACUGCAGUUUGAUAUUGCGUGUUUGUAUCACAUGUACAGGAUAGGUAGGAGCCGAAGAUACCGGGACGCCAGUCUCGGAGGAGGCAACGGUGGGAUACUACCCUUGUGAUAUGACCACUCUAACCCGCUGCUCUUAGCGAGCAGGGAGACAGUGUCAGACGGGCAGUUUGACUGGGGCGGUCGCCUCCAAAAAUGUAACGGAGGCGCCCAAAGGUUCCCUCAGAAUGGUUGGAAAUCAUUCGUAGAGUGUAAAGGCAGAAGGGAGCUUGACUGCGAGACCUACAAGUCGAGCAGGGACGAAAGUCGGGCUUAGUGAUCCGGUGGUUCCGCAUGGAAGGGCCAUCGCUCAACGGAUAAAAGCUACCCUGGGGAUAACAGGCUUAUCUCCCCCAAGAGUUCACAUCGACGGGGAGGUUUGGCACCUCGAUGUCGGCUCAUCGCAUCCUGGGGCUGUAGUCGGUCCCAAGGGUUGGGCUGUUCGCCCAUUAAAGCGGUACGCGAGCUGGGUUCAGAACGUCGUGAGACAGUUCGGUCCCUAUCCGUCGCGGGCGUUGGAAAUUUGAGAGGAGCUGUCCUUAGUACGAGAGGACCGGGAUGGACACACCGCUGGUGUACCAGUUGUUCUGCCAAGAGCAUCGCUGGGUAGCUAUGUGUGGACGGGAUAAACGCUGAAAGCAUCUAAGCGUGAAGCCCCCCUCAAGAUGAGAUUUCCCAUCACUUUAAGUGAGUAAGACCCCUGAGAGAUGAUCAGGUAGAUAGGUUGGGAGUGGAAGUACAGCGAUGUAUGGAGCGGACCAAUACUAAUCGGUCGAGGACUUAAUC
rnacentral:rRNA from 1 species